GAUCCUGGCUCAGGAUGAACGCUAGCUACAGGCUUAACACAUGCAAGUCGAGGGGAAACGACGUCGAAAGCUUGCUUUUGAUGGGCGUCGACCGGCGCACGGGUGAGUAACGCGUAUCCAACCUGCCCAUCACUUGGGAAUAACCUUGCGAAAGUAAGACUAAUGCCCAAUGAUAUCCCACGAAGGCCUCCGAAUGGGAUUAAAGGUUUACCGGUGUAAGAUGGGAUGCGUUCCAUUAGAUAGUAGGCGGGUAACCGG
rnacentral:rRNA from 1 species